UACGUAGGUGGCAAGCGUUGUCCGGAUUUACUGGGCGUAAAGAGCGCGCAGGCGGUCGUUCAAGUCGCGUGUGAAAGCCCCCGGCUCAACUGGGGAGGGUCACGCGAUACUGAUCGACUCGAAGGCAGGAGAGGGAAGUGGAAUUCCCGGUGUAGUGGUGAAAUGCGUAGAUAUCGGGAAGAACAUCGGUGGCGAAAGCGCUCUACUGGACCGCAACUGACACUCAGGGACGAAAGCUAGGGGAGCGAAUGGG
rnacentral:rRNA from 1 species